AUGAACGCUGGCGGCGUGCCUAAUACAUGCAAGUCGAGCGAACAGACGAGGAGCUUGCUCCUCUGACGUUAGCGGCGGACGGGUGAGUAACACGUGGAUAACCUACCUAUAAGACUGGGAUAACUUCGGGAAACCGGAGCUAAUACCGGAUAAUAUAUUGAACCGCAUGGUUCAAUAGUGAAAGACGGUUUUGCUGUCACUUAUAGAUGGAUCCGCGCCGCAUUAGCUAGUUGGUAAGGUAACGGCUUACCAAGGCAACGAUGCGUAGCCGACCUGAGAGGUUGAUCGGCCACACUGGAACUGAGACACGGUCCAGACUCCUACGGGAGGCAGCAGUAGGGAAUCUUCCGCAAUGGGCGUAAGCCUGACGGAGCAACGCCGCGUGAGUGAUGAAGGUCUUCGGAUCGUAAAACUCUGUUAUUAGGGAAGAACAAAUGUGUAAGUAACUAUGCACGUCUUGACGGUACCUAAUCAGAAAGCCACGGCUAACUACGUG
rnacentral:rRNA from 1 species